CCCUGGUGGCUCACAGGUUAAAGCGUCUGCCUCCAAUGCAGAGAGACCUGGGUUCGAUCCCUGGAUCGGGAA
rfam:Ovis aries breed Texel chromosome 4, whole genome shotgun sequence.